GGAAGAUUUUGGCCUAAGUUGUGGUCUGAGGGAUACGGUGAUGAAAUUUUUCAAGCUUCAUGGUAAAGAGGAUGGGAUUUCCAGUUAUCCUUUUGUCAUUCCUUUUCUAUAGAGCCUUUAGUAAAUCUAUGUAUUGCCACCACAGCACUUGCCCCUCUCAAUUUCCAUUCCCAAAUCAGUUGUGGUCAAGGAAAUGGUGUAUCAUGUACAAAUUUUAAGUGAAUUUGGUAUGUGAGUCUUUUGAUGGAUAAUGUUGAGAGAUAGUAAUUAUAGUCUUUGAGGGCAUAUCAAUCAAAGAGCCCUUUAGAGUAAGUUGAUGGGUUAGAUUGACACAAUUUAGGGGAUUGAGUUGGACCCAUGGGGAUAUUAAAUCUAUAGUGAAUAUUUUUUAUCAUUGAGGGAAUGUGUGUUCCCCCCUUUCCUUCUGUGAAAUCUGUGAGAAUGUAUGAUUCUCCCCUUUAGUUUUGAGAAAUACAUCAGAGGAGAUAGGGGGUCUUCGAGACCCCUAUCCACUCGCAGAUAAAAGUUAAGGCACA
rnacentral:lncRNA from 1 species